UCCCUGGCAGUCCAGUGGUUAGGACUCCGCACUUGCACUGCCAAGAGCCUGGGUUCAAUCCCUGUCAGGGAA
rnacentral:tRNA from 1 species